rnacentral:rRNA from 1 species
GACGAAGGGGGCUAGCGUUGUUCGGAAUUACUGGGCGUAAAGCGAGUGUAGGUGGUUGUCGUAGUCAGGUGUGAAAGCCUUGAGCUCAACUCAAGAAAUGCACUUGAUACUGGAUAACUAGAGGACCGGAGAGGAUAGUGGAAUUCCCAGUGAUAGUGGUGAAAGUACGUAGAGAUUGGGAAGAACACCAGUGGCGAAGGCGGCUAUC